rnacentral:sRNA from 2 species
ACGGAGGCCGCGCUCAAUCUGGUCCGCUCCUCGGGGAGUCGUCAGGACCGGAGCCGGGGACCCAAGUACGUGGGGUGAAUCCGGGAAGCGGCGUCGCCGACCGUGACGCCAGGACCUGGUAGGGCUUUCUUUGGGCCCGAAUCCGUCAGCUCACCUGGUAGGCGUUCGACAAAGAGGAG